AGUGAACGCUGGCGGUAGGCCUAACACAUGCAAGUCGAACGGCAACACAGUAAGAGCUUGCUCUUACGGGUGGCGAGUGGCGGACGGGUGAGGAAUACAUCGGAAUCUACUUUUUCGUGGGGGGUAACGUAGGGAAACUUACGCUAAUACCGCAUACGACCUACGGGUGAAAGCAGGGGAUCUUCGGACCUUGCGCGAUUGAAUGAGCCGAUGUCGGAUUAGCUAGUUGGCGGGGUAAAGGCCCACCAAGGCGACGAUCCGUAGCUGGUCCGAGAGGAUGAUGAGGCACACUGGAACUGAGAGACGGUACAGACUCCGACGGGAGGCAGAAGUGGGGAAGAUUGGACAAUGGGCGCAAGCCUGAUCCAGCCAUACCGCGUGGGUGAAGAAGGCCUUCGGGUGGUAAAGCCCUUUUGGUGGGAAAGAAAAGCAGCAGGUUAAUACCCCGCUGUGCUGACGGUACCCAAAGAAUAAGCACCGGCUAACUUCGUG
rnacentral:rRNA from 1 species